CAGGAAGAAGAGAUGCCAGAUGUAGAAAUUGACAUUGAUGACCUUCUUGAUGCAGCCAAUGAAGAGGAGAGAACUCUCAAAUUACAGGAAACUCUUGUAGAUUGCUACAAACCAACAGAGGAAUUUAUCAAAGAGCUGCUAACUCGGAUAAGAGGAAUGAGGAAACUCAGUCCCCCUCAAAAGAAGAGUAUAUAAAUAACUCCAAGCAGUAGCACUCUGUAAAAGACAUGGCAAGGGAAAAGGGACUUUGAAUAUAAGGCCUUUAUUAAAAUAGUUGUCUUUCUCCACAACUUUUUUGAUUUCAUUCAGUUUUGACUCAAGGAGUUUCUUUUGUGUGUUUUAAGGGUUCUUUUUUUAAGUGUCAAUUUUUUUAUCAAGAAUAUCAACAAUUUGGAUGCUGCUCAACUUCCACUUGAGGAUUACUGAAGCAAGUGAAGAAUCCAAGAGUUAGUGAUGAGGGGCAGCAAGCCUAUGUGGUGAUCCAGAAGAUCUUGUAAAUUUACAGAGCUAGGAGACUUCUUGCAACUAGUUGGAUAACAUUAAGUUGGUUGUACAUUGAACUCAUGGAUGUCAAGUUUCUUGUGCUUGUCUGUACAUAAAUUAUAAAGUGGGUGGUGAAUACUGUUUCACAUGAAUGGAAGGAAAAAUUUGUUACAGUAAAUUAUUUAAAUGGUGGUUAUUGCAAAUUUGUUACCAGAAGGUACCAAUUUAGAUUACUAUGAGUGCUGCCAUUUUUCUAAAUACCUUUAAAGUAGCCCAGUGAAAAAUUUCAUCAUAUCUCCUUGUUUAGACUGCAGCAUAUGAAAAUUGGGAAUUUUAAGGGCUUAAUUUGUAGACUUAAAUUUAUUUGACUGACUUUGAUGCUUUGCCAGGUUGUUUCCUCUCCACCUCAUAGUGUCUUGGAACAAUGCUAACCUAUACUGAAUGAAGGGCCUGCAGUGAUAUCUAGAGAAAUGUCUAUCACCAUUCAAAAGUCUGCUUCCCAGUGGAGGAAAGGCAUUGCUACCAGAAUGAAUUACAAGAACUGCCUUGUGUUUAGUGCUGUGGUCUGAAUCAAAUGCAGAUUACUCUCCUAUUAAGAUAGGUGAAGAAUAUUAUAAUCUUUGUUUAUGGUUCUGCCCUGAGAAGUGGGAAGACUUCUUAACUUGGGCUCUCUUUCUUGCAAAAGCAAGAACAGAAGAGACAUCCCUGCUCCCUCCUGGAAAAUGUCCUAACUAAAAUGUUCAAUAAGCUACCAUAUGCUGGUAGGUGACAUUAGUCAGGCAUUUUAUAUCAAGGGUGCUCUGAACAUAUUUUAUUUUUCAAAAGAAGUACAUGUUUGUGAAUUUUAUGUGUACUGGCAAGCUUUUUUAAUGUAUUUAAUUUUGUAAUGUUUACCGAUGAUUUUAUUUACCGGAUAUUUACUCAAAUAAAUGGAACAACUUGUGAC
rnacentral:lncRNA from 1 species